rnacentral:lncRNA from 1 species
UCAUAGUAGCAACAAACAGUCAUCGAACCACUAUGAACACCGGUAAGGAUAAACAAACCAGUAUAGAUCCAAACAACAUAAACAGUUACUCACACCCAGACCAAACACUAUCAAUUAGAUCCAAAGGGUGGGCCAAUUAACAGGAUGGGAAUGGAAGAGAUAGUAGUUCACAACAUAAACAUCACAAAAUUCAGCCAAUUAAACCAAACAAAAUCGACAGUAGCCCAGAAAAAUAAAUGCCAGAAGAUUCCAACCCGAUCGGCCAAACAGAU